AUAGCCACCCUUUGCCUUGAUGACAGCUUUGCACACUCUAGGCAUUCUCUCAACCAGCUUCAUGAGGUAGUCACCUGGAAUGCAUUUCAAUUAACAGGUGUGCCUUGAGGCAGUCUAUACUAUUAACCAGGAUCCAGUUUCCGAUUAACUUAGCCGUAAGAUGCUUUUUUUGGGACAUCGGCUCCUGGACCCAAAGGGCUCUGGUCUCAAGUAGUACACUACAUAGUGAAUAGGGUACCUUUUGGGACACAACCAGUAAGAACAGACAUGCUUUAGCUAGUUAUUGAAUGAUGUGUUUAGUUUCCCUGCGACAUGAACAGAACUGAUACAGCACUGAGGACCCUGCGGACGGACGACCAGGCCUCUUUUUAUACGUGUGAAUUGUGAUUUGUAAUAUACUCUUACACUGUACAGUCUUCGCCUUAGAUAUUAUGAAGUAUAUAUUAUAUAGUGCUUUGUCAAAGAGCAACAUGUAGCCAAAGAGCUGGAAAGAACAGUUCUGUUGCAAAAUGCUUCUUAAAAAUGGAAGCAAAUGAAAAAGGGGAGGGACUUAACUGAUUUUGUCCAAUAGAAACUAUUUUUGGUUGCAACACAUUCGGUUUGCAACAGAAUCGGCGGAAUAAAAACACCUCAGAUUGUGAACUAGAAUGUGUGAACGGUGUUAGGUUUAUGUCGUACCUCCAGGGUCGCGUUCAUUAGGCACCAAACGGACUGAAACGGGGAAGGACUACCUGGACUAUUUUUCAUUGUGUGUUGCAAAACCCUAUCCAUUUCGUGUCCAUAGAACACAACCCAGUUAUAUUAUGUACUUAGUUACCACAUGUAGUUGAAUUCAAAAGCAGUGGUUGUAUUCUGUGCAGCAGUAUGGAGGCUUUAAUCAGUGGGGGACGACUGGAGAGCUGUAGAUAGACACGUAACUUGAGAUGUGAUUGAGAAUCAUCCCCAUUUCCAGCUUGAGCUACUCCAAACCAGAAGUUGCCUCACGGGAACAUACAAUGAACAAAAAUAUAAAUGCAACAUGUAAAGUGUUGGUCCCGUGUUUCUUGAGCUGAAAUAAAAGAUCCCAGAAAUGUUCCAUACGUACAAAAAAAUUAAAUUAUGCACAAAUUUAAUAUCCCCAUUAGUGAGCGUUUUGCCUUUGCUAAAAUAAUCCAGCCACCUGACCGGUGUGGCAUAUCAAACAGAAUCCUCAUUACACAGGUGCACCUUGUUCUGGGGACAAUAAAAGGCCACUUUAAAAUGUACAGUUCUGUCACAACACAUGCCUCAGAUGUCUCAAGUUGAGGGAGCGUGCAAUUGGCAUGCUGACUGCAGGGAAGCCGACCAGCGCUGUUGUAAUGAGUAUUCUGUAAUCUGUCAGGUGGCUACAUGCAGAGAAGCCCACCAGAGCUGUUGCCCGAGAACUUCAUAUCUCCAUCAGCUGCCGCCAUCAUAGAGAAUUUGGAAGGGCGUUCAACCGGCCUCAACCACAGAACAGAUGUAACCAUGCCAACCCAGGACCGCCACACUCCGCUUCUUCACCUGUGGGAUCAGAGGGGGAAUUUGUCUAAUCAAGCCCGUGUGGGUAAAAGCUCAUUGAUUGGCUGUCCUCCCAGGCCCACCUAUUGCUGCACCCCUGCCUUGGAGUGAAAUACAUAGAUAAGGGCCAAAUUAAUUUCAAAUUAGCUGAAAAGUUUUGGCCACACAUUUUGGAAACAUGAAUUCCACUAUAAUGCAAUCUUUCUUAGGGACGAUGCUUAUCAUAACCCAAUACUAACUACAUCCAUUUCUCCCUCUCAUACCAUGCAUGUGGUCUCAGACAGACAGAGGUCAAGGCUGGCCGUCCUAUUGCAAGGUUGUACAUUGUAAAUCCCCAAGGGGUUGUUCAGUACAGUGAAUAAAAAGGUAGAAUUAUAACAAUGUCAUUCUUAACUGGAUCUGUGUUCCCUUGUCAGAGAGGGACUAACCUGGGAAACAAAGCCUGUCUUAGUUACAUUGUAUAUCAUUAAUGUCACUUACAGCAAUUAUAUGAGGGUCAGAUGGAAAACUGCACAAAUUCAUGGAGGGAAUGAGAAAAAUCAGAUGAAUACUGCAGUCACACAGGCUGGCUAAAUAAAAAUUGUAAGAACAAUUAUUAGCAAGAAACCUGAUUAGUAAAUAGACCAAUUGGGUUACACAGACUGCAUGUGUAAACAGCCUUGUAGAAAUGCCUUAAUAUGAACACAAGGUCAGUCAAGAUGAAUUGAACAAAUGCCAGCAACACAUUGAUUAGUCUACAUGGCUUUUAUUGAGUCAUUGACUUAGGCAGCCAUGAGGAUCCAGUCCAGAAUGGAGAGUUCAGGUUUGAGAAACCGUCCCUCUGGGAUGUAGCUUGUGAGUAAUGACAGCAGCCAUUUAGGAUUCCACCUGCUUCUCCUGGUCAAUGUCUGUAGGUGAGAAGAACGGCUUAAAAAACAGACAGCAAUAGAGAAUCGUGACAUCGAUGCUAACGUGACAAAGUUAACCACCGAAAUUCAAGUUGGCAUACCCAUCAGAGUGCCUUAAUUCAAGGUCUAGUAGUUCUAGUUGCCAUCAGGUUUCAUAAUAAAACCAGUGGCUACUAAGGCAUUGUAUUUACCCUCUUUGGUAGGUAGAGUGUUCUUCUCCUCAGUCUCAGUCUUCUUCAGUUUAGUCAUGUCAAACUGAGCGAUCUCACUCACAUCUGGUUUGUCUGCCAUUGUUGAUUUGGGUUCUAAUGAAACAGAUUGGUGUUAAAUAAGCAGCCAAUGGCAUGCCAAUAUGAUAAAGCUCCCAGACUUGAUGUGGAGUAAUACUAUUAGGCAAACAUUUUACUGAUGUUAUUCACCUGCUGACAGUCUAAACCAUAAGCUAUUGAAGCACAGACCUACCUUAAACCUCCACAGGUACUGCACCACACAAAAUGGUUUGUAAAUAAGGAAGGAAUGAACACCUUCAUUUCCGGAAUCUAUUUAUGAGAAUGGAAAGGAAUGCUGAUUACUAGCAGGAGGGGCCUUCUAAUUUUCUAAGUGAUGGCACCUGUUCAUUCACCUGUUUAACAUCCAAUUAGCAUAAUUGGAUCGGCUACUGUGGAACACCGAAUGAGCACCCAACUGUAUGAUUUUUAACUAACAUAAAAAAAACCUGUUCUGUCAUCUGUAAUUUAUUGUAAAAACUAUGCCAAUUUUUCUCAAGCUCAUUUGAUCGACGAUUCUGGUUUUUGUUAACUUCAAAAUUGAAGAGAUAGAUAAAAUAAAAACUUCACGUGUCUUUAAAAAUGACCAGAGCCAAUCAGAAGGCAGGCCUGGGAGUUGGCUCGGAUUCAUAACGCGGCUGAAUACGGAAAGAACCGAACUGGAGACUCCGUGUGAGAGCAGAACGUCAAGACGUAAAGGUGACCAAAGUAUCCCCUGUUAAGUGUACAUUUGUUACAGCGAAACUAAACAGUUUGAUUUAGCGACUUAGUAACGGUUUGAUUUAGGGACUGUUGGGUUUAAAACCGCGGCGUAAAACAUUCAUUCAGUUAGAGCACCCUGUGUUGUUGUGUGUCUGUUGUCACUAUAAAUAUAAUAUCAACACGACUGUAUUUCCAACGAUCUGUAUACAGUCAUAACAUCAUCAUGCCCAGUUGUCAUUCUCGAGCUGGUAUUGACAUGACUUCUAUGUCACUGGCUUCAAUAUAGAAUAUUUGGUUAAAUGUCAUGUUGGAAUAGCCAACAAUAAGAGUAGCAAACAAAAGCUAGCUGACCAGAGAUGGUAUAUAGCUACUGUAUCAGUAUUAUCCAGCUAGCUGACCAGAGAUGGUAUAUAGCUACUGUAUCAGUAUUAUCCAGCUAGCUGACCAGAGAUGGUAUAUAGCUACUGUAUCAGUAUUAUCCAGCUAGCUGAC